rnacentral:rRNA from 1 species
UACGGAGGGUGCAAACGUUGCUCGGAAUCAUUGGGCGUAAAGCGCACGUAGGCGGCUUGUUAAGUCGGGUGUGAAAUCCCUGGGCUCAACCCAGGAAGUGCACUCGAAACUGGCAGGCUUGAGUACUGAAGAGGGUAGCGGAAUUCACGGUGUAGCAGUGAAAUGCGUAGAUAUCGUGAGGAACACCAGAGGCGAAGGCGGCUACCUGGACAAUUGCUGACGCUCAGGCACGAAAGCGUGGGGAGCAAAAGGG